rnacentral:tRNA from 2 species
GUCAACUUGGCCGAGUGGUUAAGGCGUAUGACUUGAAAUCAUAUGGGAUUUCCCGCGCAGGUUCAAACCCUGCAGUUGACG